GACAAACGCUGGCGGCGUACCUAAGACAUGCAAGUCGAACGGGCGCUAUCCCUUCGGGGAUGGUUGCGAGUGGCGGAUGGGUGAGUAACGCGUAGGAACCUGUCCUUAUGUGGGGGAGUAACAAGUGGGAACCGACUGCUAAUACCGCCAUGUGGUCAGUCACUGAGAGGUGAUUGAAGAAAGGACGAAAGACCGCAGAAGGAGGGGCCGU
rnacentral:rRNA from 1 species